CCUACGGGAGGCAGCAGUGGGGAAUAUUGCUCAAUGGGGGCAACCCUGAUGCAGCGAAGCCGCGUGAGUGAAGAAGUAAUUCGUUAUGUAAAGCUCUAUUAGCAGGGAAGAAACUGACGGUACCUGAGUAAGCAGUCCCGGCUAACGACGGGCCAGCAGCCGCGGUAAUACGGAGGGGGCAAGCGUUAUCCGGAUUUAUGCGGUGUAAAGGGAGCGUAGACGGGAGUGCAAGGCUGGAGGGAAAGGCGGGGGCUCAACCCCCGGACUGCUCUGGAAACUGGAGGGCUGGAGUGCAGGAGAGGUAAGCGGAAUUCGUAGUGUAGCGGUGAAAUGCGUAGAUAUUAGGCGGAACACCGAUGGCGAAGGCGGCUUACUGGACUGUAACUGACGUUGAGGCUCGAAAGCGUGGGGAGCAAACAGGAUUAGAUACCCCAGUAGUC
rnacentral:rRNA from 1 species